GUGUAGAGAGAGAGAGAGAGAGAGAGAGAGCAAUAAACCGCAAUAAACCACAACAACAGUAGCGAUCUACGAUUGUUGCCUUGUUGAUGUGGAAACAAUCAUAAAUCGUAAUUAAAUAUAAAUCCAUUAAUCAGAUUAAAUUAAAUGAAUUUAAAAAUAAAAUGUGUACAUAGCCGCUCAGGUCUAGGGGAAGCGGGUAUGGUUAUGCUAAAAUUAACCAAGAAGUUGGUCUGCAUUUUGGAAUAUAGUGAAGACCAUGCUAGAGUGGCAUGCCAAACUUGCCCCAAAACUUCUUUUUAAUUAAUAGGUAUGAUCCAAUUGAUUUCGCCCUAAAACUUCCUUUUCCUACAGAUUUGCUCAAAACUUGACAUUUCCCGAAGUCAUCAAUUAAAGUCAAUACUCGUGUGAUUGAUGAAGAUAAUCGUUUCAUCAUGUAGUAGCAUGAAUAAAUUGCAUAUGUCAAUAGGUUUUUAGACCGAUGAUGAAUUUAUUAGAAGAAACUCUACAAUAUAAUAGAGGUACAAUGUCAGUCAUAUAACAAACAAAUGAUGUUAUGAUAUGUGAGUGAUGUUUACAUUAAAUUUCAUUACACAUGUUAUGCAUCCAUCAAUUGAUUGUAUUACCUUUGAUAUAGGAAGAAUUUAUUUAGUUGAUAUCAACUGAACCAUUUUCUUUUUUCUUUUCUUUCACAAGUAUGUGUACGUUAAGCAUUAAUAUAGUUAAUAGUUUUACGUCCUUUCUUACUAGGCUACUAUACAUUAUGGAGAGAUUGUUAGUUCCCCCUUCACCGAAAUCAAUAUAUACCGCUUGCUACUUAUUGGUUUUAUGAUAACCAAUAAUCUCCUGACAACAUAAUUUUACAGUAUUAUCUGCGUGUUUAAAUCCACAUUUAUUCAUAUUUAUUAUAAAUUAAAUAAAUCAUGUAAAUAGA
rnacentral:lncRNA from 1 species